CCGUGGUCACCUCUGCGGCCUCAGUCACUGGCUCCUUGCGGGGCCUUUGCUUGCCUGUGGGACAGCAGCCCCGGCCACCACCCAGGGCAGAGGUUGGCUGCAAGCAGGAGUGGCUAUUUUGGGAUAGGGGAGAGCCCCCCAGGAGUUGGGGACGGGUCCGCCAGUCACCAGGAGUUGGGGACGGGUCCGCCAGUCACCAGGAGUUGGCAGCCGUCACUCACUGGCUCUCUCCCCCUACCCCCUCCUGCUCCGGCCCUUCAGACGCUGCUGCAGGACUUCUCCUACGAUGAGUCCAAAGUGGAGUUUGACGUGGACGCGCCCAGUGGGGUGGUGAUGGAGGGCUACCUCUUCAAGAGGGCCAGCAACGCUUUCAAGACCUGGAACCGGCGCUGGUUCUCCAUUCAGAACAGCCAGCUGGUCUACCAGAAGAAGCUCAAGGAUGCCCUCACCGUGGUGGUGGACGACCUCCGCCUGUGCUCUGUGAAGCCGUGUGAGGACAUCGAGCGGAGGUUCUGCUUCGAGGUGCUGUCACCCACCAAGUGAGGAGGCCCAGCCCAGGGUGGGGCGGGGGGCGUACCUGCCCACCGGAGCUGACGCCCACCCCUCCACUGCCUGCAGGAGCUGCAUGCUACAGGCAGACUCCGAGAAGCUGCGGCAGGCCUGGGUCCAAGCUGUGCAGGCCAGCAUCGCCUCCGCCUACCGCGAGAGCCCCGACAGUUGCUAUAGCGAGAGGCUGGACCGCACAGCAUCCCCGUCCACGAGCAGCAUCGACUCCACCACCGACACUCGGGAGCGCGGCGUGAAGGGCGAGAGUGUGCUGCAGCGUGUGCAGAAUGUGGCCGGCAACAGCCAGUGUGGCGACUGCGGCCAGCCGGACCCCCGCUGGGCCAGCAUCAAC
rnacentral:sRNA from 1 species